ACGGAGGCGCUCAAAGGUUCUCUCAGUACGGUCGGAAAUCGUACGUAGAGUGUAAAGGCAAAAGAGAGCUUGAUUGCAAGACAUACAGGUCGAGCAAGGAUGAAAAUCGGACUUAGUGAUCCGGUGGUUCUGCGUGGAAGGGCCAUCGCUCAACGGAUAAAAGCUACCCUGGGGAUAACAGGCUUAUCUCCCCCAAGAGUCCACAUCGACGGGGAGGUUUGGCACCUCGAUGUCGGCUCAUCACAUCCUGGGGCUGUAGUAGGUCCCAAGGGUUGGGCUGUUCGCCCAUUAAAGUGGUACGCGAGCUGGGUUCAGAACGUCGUGAGACAGUUCGGUCCCUAUCCGUCGCAGGCGUAGGAAAUUUGAGAAGACCUGUCCUUAGUACGAGAGGACCGGGAUGGACG
rnacentral:rRNA from 1 species